CACUCCUGCGGGAGGCAGCAGUGGGGAAUAUUGCACAAUGGGCGCAAGCCUGAUGCAGCCAUGCCGCGUGUAUGAAGAAGGCCUUCGGGUUGUAAAGUACUUUCAGCGGGGAGGAAGGCAAUACGGUUAAUAACCGUGUUGAUUGACGUUACCCGCAGAAGAAGCACCGGCUAACUCCGUGCCAGCAGCCGCGGUAAUACGGAGGGUGCAAGCGUUAAUCGGAAUUACUGGGCGUAAAGCGCACGCAGGCGGUCUGUCAAGUCGGAUGUGAAAUCCCCGGGCUCAACCUGGGAACUGCAUUCGAAACUGGCAGGCUUGAGUCUUGUAGAGGGGGGUAGAAUUCCAGGUGUAGCGGUGAAAUGCGUAGAGAUCUGGAGGAAUACCGGUGGCGAAGGCGGCCCCCUGGACAAAGACUGACGCUCAGGUGCGAAAGCGUGGGGAGCAAACAGGAUUAGAUACCCCUGUAGUCCCAUGAU
rnacentral:rRNA from 1 species